GACGAACGCUGGCGGCGUGCCUAAUACAUGCAAGUCGAACGCAGUGGGGACGGGUGAGUAACACGUGGGUAACCUCCCAUCAGAGGGGAUAACACUUGGACACAGGUGCUAAACCGAUACUGAUGGAUGGACCCGCGGUGCAUUAGCUAGUUGGUGAGGUAACGGCUCACCAAGGCCACGAUGCAUAACGGGUCUGAGAGGUUGAUCGGCCACACUGGAACUGAGACACGGCCCAGACUCCUACGGGAGGCAGCAGUAGGGAAUCUUGGGCAAUGGACGAAAGUCUGACCGAGCAACGCCGCGUGAGUGAAGAAGGUUUUCGGAUCGUAAAGCACUGUUAUUAGAGAAGCGGUAUCUAAACAAAAAGCAACGGCUAACUACGUGCCAGCAGCCGCGGUAAUUC
rnacentral:rRNA from 1 species